AAUACUAGAGCUGUCAAGCGAUUAAAAUAUUUAAUCGUGAUUAAUCGCAUUAAUGUCAUAUGCAUCGGCUUGCCUUGUGCAAAUGAUUUUUUAUUGAUAACAUUGGCAUAUACUGAUCAAAACAGGACGAUACAAAAAAAGAGCCUAUAGUGCAAUUAAACGACUGCUUUGAACAAAUGUCAUUUGAACAUAGCAGUCAGGCUAUUGCUUCUUUGUUUUGA